UACGAAGGGGGCUAGCGUUGUUCGGAAUCACUGGGCGUAAAGCGCACGUAGGCGGAUUGUUAAGUCGGGGGUGAAAUCCUGAGGCUCAACCUCAGAACUGCCUCCGAUACUGGCAAUCUCGAGUUCGGAAGAGGUUGGUGGAACAGCUAGUGUAGAGGUGAAGUUCGUAGAUAUUAGCUAGAACACCAGUGGCGAAGGCGGCCAACUGGUCCGAUACUGACGCUGAGGUGCGAAAGCGUGGGGAGCAAACAGG
rnacentral:rRNA from 1 species